rnacentral:lncRNA from 1 species
UGGGCAUGAGGUUCCUUGAAUUUUAAUUGAUACUGAAUUAUGACAGGUAGAGGCAUAUGUUCUACUAAACUGCAAGGAGGUUGAUGCAUAUGUUGAGUAAGUAUCCAUCACAAUCCCAACUACUCAACUUCUUAUUACAGUAUACUUAACUUAUGUAUGUUUAGGCAAUAUGAUGGGAUACUGAGAUGGAACAACCCAAAGA